rnacentral:tRNA from 1 species
GGCUGGAUGGCCGAGUGGACUAAGGCGCGGCAUUCAGGUUGUCGUUUCCAGGGGUUCGAAUCCCCUUCCAGUCA